UGCUAGGGUGGAACAACUAACUGUAUAGCAUAGGGAUUGCAUAGAAGCCAUCAGAAUUAGAAAAGUUGCAGCAGUAAUUUACAAGUGUCUGCUGAGGACAGCCUCUAAUUUCAUGCAGGGAGCUGGACGAAUAAUAGCCCCGCCUACUUGUGUGAGCAUAUUGUGUUUGCAGUCAGUGAGUGAGUGGAGGUUUUGGGGAGAAAGGUGUCACGGUAAGGCUGCUUUACUUUAUUGAUCCUCCUUACUAUAGGGUAGGGCUAACAUAAGGUAAAACAAGUCUUCAAACAGGAGCUGCCACUGCUUAAAAAUAACGGACCUUUUAAAGAUCCCUUCUCUCUGGGGCAGCUGCACACAAACAUUCCUAUGUGAUCAUGUGACAUCCUUUUGACUGCCUGCAGACCGGGAGAGUGAGAGAACGACUCCUUCUGACUCGAGUGUCUGCUUGCAAUGGCUUUCCUUGUCUACCCCAUGAACAAACCAUCGGACUUCCAGCAUCUACCUGCAGAAGAACACUGGAUAAGCACCUCUACUGCAAAUGGACUAUGGUAUUGAAGCAGAGUGUCUGAGGAAGGUGGAGCUCUAAGAGGACAAAGACUGUUCUUAAAUUGAUCAGAGGCCACCCAGAGACACUUGUGCUGUUCCCAUGUCAUGCUUCACUGUGGAGAGUGUACAGAGCAGGAAACUGUCGGAAAUAUUGGGGGGUGCUAGCUAUGCAGGUUGAGAAAUAAAGAUGCAGCAUUGUUUGGGGGUAGAUAGGGGGCUGGUUGGGUCUUUGUGCAGAUAGACCAGUAGUUUGAGGAUGCUGGGAGGUAGACGGAGAGUAUUGGAAGGGCCAUACCUAUGUGCAGUGACAAAUUGUGCCCUAUUGGCCUAUGAAAUUAUAGCAGUAAAUGUGAAUACAUUUCUCUACAGUAUUCUAACAUAGAUCCGUGUUAUACCAAAGUAUUAGGCUUAUAUUGUUGUUUAAGGAUUUACUAAUUUUCUAUGUUUCUCUAUUUUAUGUUAUGCUGUUAGAAUAAAAGGGUGGUAUGUUAGCAUUACCGACGCCAUCUUGUUUUCGUUGCCAUUUUGUCUUAGACAUCCAUCUUGUCUAAGAAAGGUUUAUUAUAACCGCUUAUUAUGUAGUGAGAACGAUGUAGAUGUUAUGAAUCUUUGUAUAGCUAGAAUGGUCUUGUGAAUGUUCCUGGCGAUGCGCCUGGAAGCCCGUUAUCUCUAUAAGAUGCUUACACGGCCUUGAUUUGUGCUGGGCUAUGAGGCUCAGAUUUACUGUUAUCUGAAGUUAGGUAUUUCUGCAGAAAUGACUCCCUAACACUCCUUUUCUACCAAUUAUAUUUAUAAUGAGCUUCUUUGUUCUUGCAGAAAUACUAUGUAAGAUGAUGUAGUUAUGAACAUGUCACUGUGUUAACCCUAUAUACUGUAAUCACUGCCUAUAAAAUGUAUUGUUCAUCUUCUAAUAAACAGAACAGAUGUUAGACUGA